UACGUAGGGUGCGAGCGUUGUCCGGAAUUAUUGGGCGUAAAGAGCUUGUAGGUGGCUCGUUGCGUCGGGAGUGAAAACCUGCGGCUUAACCGCAGGCCUGCUUCCGAUACGGGCGAGCUAGAGUUCGGCAGGGGAGACUGGAAUUCCUGGUGUAGCGGUGGAAUGCGCAGAUAUCAGGAGGAACACCGGUGGCGAAGGCGGUUCUCUGGGCCUUACCUGACGCUGAGGAGCGAAAGCGUGGGGAGCGAACAGG
rnacentral:rRNA from 1 species